AUUGAACGCUGGCGGCAGGCCUAACACAUGCAAGUCGAGCGGCAGCGCGAGUAGUUUACUACUUGGCGGCGAGCGGCGGACGGCUGAGUAACGUGUGGGAACAUACCCCAAAGUGAGGGAUAACCGCCCGAAAGGGUGGCUAAUACCGCAUAUGAUCUUCGGAUUAAAGGAUUUAUCCGCUUUGGGAAUGGCCUGCGUACGAUUAGAUAGUUGGUGAGGUAAUGGCUCACCAAGUCGACGAUCGUUAGCUGGUCUGAGAGGAUGACCAGCCAGACUGGAACUGAGACACGGUCCAGACUCCUACGGGAGGCAGCAGUGAGGAAUCUUCCACAAUGGGCGAAAGCCUGAUGGAGCAACGCCGCGUGCAGGAUGAAGGCCUUCGGGUCGUAAACUGCUUUUAUGGGUGAAGAAUAUGACGGUAACUCAUGAAUAGGCACCGGCUAACUACGUGCCAGCCGCCGCCGUAA
rnacentral:rRNA from 1 species